rnacentral:pre_miRNA from 1 species
UGCAUGGGGUAGCACAAGGGUUUAAAACUCCAUACAUGUGUAUUUGUGCAUGGAGUUUCAAACUCUUGGAUUGCUCUAUGCA